rnacentral:rRNA from 1 species
UAGCAGAGGUCCCGAGCGUUGUUCGGAUUCACUGGGCGUAAAGGGUGCGUAGGUGGCCUAAAAAGUUUGAUGUGAAAGCUCAGGGCUUAACCCCUGAAAUGGCAUUGAAUACUGUUGGGCUGGAGGUUUGGAGGGGGGACUGGAAUUCUUGGUGUAGCAGUGAAAUGCGGUAGAUAUCAAAGAGGAACACCAGUGGCGAA